AACGAACGCUGGCGGCAUGCCUAACACAUGCAAGUCGAACGAGACCUUCGGGUCUAGUGGCGCACGUGUGCUUAACGCGUGGGAACCUACCCUUAGGUUCGGAAUACCUCCCCGAGAGGGGUGCUAAUGCCGGAUAAUGUCUUCGGACCAAAGAUUUAUCGCCUUUGGAUGGGCCCGCGUGGGAUUCGCUGGUUGGUAGGGGAAAAGCCAACCAAGGCGACGAUGCAUAGCUGGUCUGAGAGGAUGACCAGCCACACUGGGACUGAGACACGGCCCAGACUCCUACGGGAGGCAGCAGUGGGGAAUAUUGGACAAGGGGCGAAAGCCUGAUCCAGCAAUGCCGGGUGAGUGAUGAAGGCGUUAGGGUUGUAAAGCUCUUUUAGCCGGGAUGAUAAUGACAGUACCGGGAGAAUAAGCACCGGCUAACUCCGUG
rnacentral:rRNA from 1 species